CCUUGACGUCCCACCUCAGCCUCCUGAGUAGCUUGGACUACAGUCAUGACAUGCAAAAAACAUUACUUGAUGCCCAGCAUGAACCUCACUCACGGACACCCUGAAAAUAGUCGCUGAUCGCACCAGAGCAAUAAAACAGCUUUCGGCCUGAGGAAGAUCACAUUGAGAUAAGUUGAAAGCAUUUUGAAGAAAAACUCAGAUUGGACACAGGAUUAGUCAGGUGAAAACGUACCUCCAAGAAACCCUAUUUAUGGCAAAUUCCUGUGUAAUCUUCAAGUGUUACAUGCCCUGUGACAUCUGACAUCCCCAAUAAGACUUUGGGAUUCCUUCCUCUCUAAGUUCCCAAUUCAUGUUGCACAUACACUAUAAUCUUUUCCCUGCUAGCAUGUAAGGUCUUCCCAGGAAGGGCUAUGUCUCUUGCCUUUGUAUCUCCAGUACCCUAGUGCCUGGCAUAUAAGAGGAGCUAAACAUAUAUUUGCAUAGUAAAUGCAUAAAUGAAAGUCUUUCCUGACCAAUUUCAUCCUGCUCCGACCACUCUUUCAUUAUACAGCUUAGACUAUUUACAUCUUGCUACACAAGCAUAUGCAGCAAAUGAACCACUGAGAUGCAUUAUGAUUUUUCUGAGUCAAGGAAAAUUUUAACGUGCAAGAAAAUUGACUAUUUAAAGAAACUUUAUGUGAAUAUUUUUGUAACUGGUCAAGGAAGACAUGAAUUCAAAUAUUUACAGGGAUUUUAAGGAGCAGUCUGAGGGAGGGAGUCCAGAGCUAUUCUGUCUAGAAUGCAAACUGCCUGAAGAGUCUAAGAACUGGCCUGUUUGCCUCUUCUCAGCCCACACUCCUCAAUACCCUAAAUUCAAACCUGAAUAAAAAUUAA